rnacentral:rRNA from 1 species
UAAGGAAUAUUGGUCAAUGGACGCAAGUCUGAACCAGCCAUGCCGCGUGAAGGAUUAAGGCCCUCUGGGUUGUAAACUUCUUUUAUAGGGGAAGAAAUGUGACGGUUCUCCGUCACUUGACGGUACCCUGGGAAUAAGCACCGGCUAACUCCGUGCCAGCAGCCGCGGUAAUACGGAGGGUGCAAGCGUUAUCCGGAUUCACUGGGUUUAAAGGGUGCGUAGGUGGGCAGAUAAGUCAGUGGUGAAAUCUUCCGGCUUAACCGGGAAACUGCCUUUGAUUCUAUUUGUCUUGAAUAUUGCGGAGGUAAGCGGAAUAUGUCAUGUAGCGGUGAAAUGCUUAGAUAUGACAUAGAACACCAAUUGCGAAGGCAGCUUACUACACAAUCAUUGACACUGAGGCACGAAAGCGUGGGUAGCGAACA